AGAGUGAACGCUGGCGGCAGGCCUAACACAUGCAAGUCGAACGGCAGCACAGGAGAGCUUGCUCUCUGGGUGGCGAGUGGCGGACGGGUGAGGAAAACGUCGGAAUCUGCCUAUUUGUGGGGGGAUAACGUAGGGAAACUUACGCUAAUACCGCAUACGACCUACGGGUGAAAGCGGAGGACCUUCGGGCUUCGCGCAGAUAGAUGAGCCGACGUCGGAUUAGCUAGUUGGCGGGUAAAGCCACCAAGGCGACGAUCCGUAGCUGGUCUGAGAGGAUGAUCAGCCACACUGGAACUGAGACACGGUCCAGACUCCUAGGGAGCAGCAGUGGGAAUAUUGGACAAUGGGCGCAAGCCUGAUCCAGCCAUGCCGCGUGUGUGAAGAAGGCCUUCGGUUGUAAAGCACUUUUGACCGGAAGAAAGCAACGUAGGUUAAUACCCGUGGUAGU
rnacentral:rRNA from 1 species